GCUGAUGUAAUAGACAUGGGAUAUAAAGGGUGUUUCCAAACUAGCAGGCGUAGUCUUGGCUGAGUGCCAAGAUGCACCCAGCCAUAAUAAGCUUUGCUCUAUGGUCCUUGUCUCCUAUGGCCCUUUAUUAAACUUUAAAUUUUCACAGGAGAGUGAACGUGUUUUUCACAUUAGUGUCACUGAAACUGCAGGAAAAACAAAAACAACUCUCCUAAGUUUUUAGUGUUAGAGAAUCAAGGCAUCACUUUAUUCUGGCCGGGAUGUUGUUCUGGCCAGGAUGUGCAAAAGAAAUAAUUUCAUCCACACAUUGCCCGGAUUGUGCAGAGAAAAUAAUUCCAUGACUCAGCUCUUUACUCGAUUUUUCAUGUAUUUUAUACAGUCAAAACCUAUAGAAAUUAAUUGGUUCAAUCUUCAUAAUUCCCAUGUUGCGCAGUUCUUAAUACUUGGUUUCCUAUUGGAUAUGGAUUUCUUCACCUUUGAUGCUAAUUAGGUUUUCAUUCUUAUCUCUGUUUUCCCAGACCGGGUGUCUCUCACUUCCUUUUGUGUAUCUUCUGGGCUACUUCCAGUCCCUUGAGUUGUUAAGCUCAUCAGACCUCACCUGGUGAACCAUUCCUCUGAAAAGAAACUUCAAUUCUCUUCUCCCUGGACAAAGUACUGGCUUUACUCCCUCCAGGGCAUAGGUUGAAGAGGGACAGGAUGAGUACUUACUGGCUCAGAGAGGUGCUGCUGUGGCAGAGACUGAAGAGGCCAUAAAAAAGGCAAGGAAAUAAAAAUUGGAAGCCAUCCGGCGCAUCUCUCUGCAGGCAAGUGAAAGCCUGCCUCUCUGGGUGAGAAGGGGAAAGAUGCAUCCAAACUGGUAAAUUUUCCUGGCAGUGCCAAGAAUCAUCCAAGAAUCACAGCUGAGGCUGGACCAUUAACCAAAGUGAUGAUUUGUGAGGACAAAGAAGGAAAACCUAAGUCUUUUGGAUAUGUCUGCUUUAAACACAGAGUAUCAGUGCCUUAUGCAAAAGCUCUGCUGGAUGGAAUCUGUUUGUAUGGUAGACCAAUUACUGUGCAGUACUGGAGAGGGAGUUCUCCCUCACCAGAACUAGACAGUUGUACAGAUGGUUUUGAACACCGUAUUGACUUAGAGUCUCUUGCAGAAAGGCAUCAAGAGCUUUCUGGAAAUUCUCCAUUUCCUGUUACUCCUUUGUCAGUGAACAACAGUUUACUUCAUGAUCAUCCUGGCUUUCAAGAGGUGGUGAGUUAGUGCUAGAAGUUAAAAAACUUGGGAGUGUUUUUAUGAAGCUGAAUACAUUUUGCAUUUCUGCAAAAACGAGCACUUGCUUUAGGUCUCAAAAUGUGCUAUAAGCACAGUAUUAGGACACUUCAGGAUCCUCGAAUAACAGGAAUCUACCAAACCAAACUAUUUUCUUCUUGCAAGAAUAUCUUAAAGGUAUAUAGCUUAAGAAAGCUAAAAAUGGUGAAGUCUAUGAAACUCUCUCCUGCACUGUGUUUCAAAUGGUAGGACAAGUUGACCUCAUUGGACAACAACCAUGCAAGCAACAGCUUCUUCGCAUAUAGCUAAUAGGGAAACCUUAGUUUUUCUCAAUUCAGAAAUGCCCAGCAGAAGUUUAAAAUGUGCUAAAACCUAAUCUAAAACUCAAUGAAUCACCAAUGCCCAAGUUUGGGAAACAACAGUUUGUGGGUUUCUGGCCUAAACCUUCACAUGCCUGUGUAGGUCUCUCCUUCAUGAUUUACUUUCACAGCAGUAGAUGAUGAAAACCCACACUUCGCCUCUACAAGACUCUGGUGCAUCAGAUCAUUAUCACCCUAAAUUUCUUCUGAGAUAUUCCACAAAGCAAGGAAACUGGUCUCUUCAGGUGGAAAUCUGUUCAUCAAACUUACUUCCCAAACACAUCAUGAAGCUUCUGAGUCUGAUGAAGUCUGUGGACUGAUAGGACUGAAGAAACCCAGCCUUUAACGUGAGAUACCAGCUGUGGACAGUCCUGCUCACCGAGUCUGACUGGGGACUGGCCAGCACUUGGAGCUAUAGAAGGGGGGCAGUCUGGAUCAGUUACCCUUGUUGGCUGCAGUCUGAGCAGGGAAAUGGAGAGCAUCUAUUCUCCAUCUAUGGGGUGGGGGCCUGCCCUCCCAUCUUCCCACACUGUGCUCUGAGAAGAGCUGCUACUUGUGUGAACUUUCCCAUCUCCUCUACUCCCUUUUGAAGGCUCAAAUGCAUCAUCUUACCCUCUGUGCUUGCUGAUGGACCUACUUCUCAGUAACAAGGCAGUAGACCAGCACACACAACCAACUUCAUCCCAUUUUCUGCUUGCCAGAGGAUGGUAUUGCAGUGUCUCACAUGAUAGUUUGUUGAAGCUUCAGCAGAAAGUGAUCUCAUCACGAGUAUGCCUUAACAAAUCUACCUCAUCUUACCUUGGCAGGUUGCUCACUUGGGAGUCUUUCAAUGUCCUUGUUGGAAUGCUUUGUUCCACAUCGACUUGAAAAUUUGUUAAACCAGGUUUGAAGAACUUGCAGGUGUGGAUGCCUUUACAGUACCAACGGGCACUGCAGUUAAAAAUAUUUAUCAAAUAGAGAUGAAGAAAUUAAAGGAAUACCAUGUUUGUUUACCUUAUGUGAGGACUAGCUGGCAAUUUAGCCUUAAAUCAGGUUGUCGCUAACUUUGUCAUGAAAAAUUUGUCUACUUUUCUGAACUAUACUUCUUGUUGUCAUAAAAUAGCUUUACUCUCAAGCAUUCUGUGUUAUUUUAUAGUUUGUCGGUAUUUUAAUUAAGUCACGAUGCAUGCAAAAUGAAGUUCUUUAAAAUUUCUUCUUCACAAUGUAAACAACUCAAGUUUCUAUUUCUCUAAAUGUACCAUGUUCUGGCAUAGCAGUAUAAAGUACAGAGUCCAAUGGGUUAGCAAUUUCUUUAUUAGCAGUACCUUCACAUUUAUCCUUUUCUCCCUAUCAGAAUCAAGACUGCACAGAGUUAUCCUGAAUUUGCCACAUCCAAGUGUCUGUGAAGUGCACCAAGCAGGAUGAAAGAAAUUGAAAAUGGCAAAGUUGUGACAAUGACUAUACUGAAGAUAAUAAAAGGAGACAAAGACAGUGUGGCCAAAACUGGGGAAAAAAACCCCAAACCUGGAGAAAAAUACAUAUUAAUACUACGUGUUUUUAUUAUUAUAUUUGCUUUCAUCUUUGAACUUCAUUAAAGAAGGAAUGUUCCAGAUUCAUAGUAUUUUUGAAAUGCAUUAUGCAUCCCAACUUAGA